CCUACGGGAGGCAGCAGUGAGGAAUAUUGGUCAAUGGGCGCGAGCCUGAACCAGCCAAGCAGCGUGAAGGAUGACUGCCCUACGGGUUGUAAACUUCUUUUAUAAAGGAAUAAAGUGAGGCACGUGUGCCUUUUUGUAUGUAUUUUAGGAAUAAGGAUCGGCUAAAUCCGUGCCAGCAGCCGCGGUAAUACGGAGGAUCCGAGCGUUAUCCGUAUUUAUUGGGUUUAAAGGGAGCGGAGAUGGGUUGUUAAGUCAGUUGUGAAAGUUUGCGGCUAAACCGUAAAAUUGCCAUUGAUACUGGCAGCCUUGAGUACAGUUGAGGUAGGCGGAAUUCGUGGUGUAGCGGUGAAAUGCUUAGAUAUCACACAGAACUCCGAUUGCGAAGGCAGCCUACUAAACUGCCACUGACAUUGAUGCUCGAAAGUGUGGGUAUCAAACAGGAUUAGAUACCCCAGUAGUC
rnacentral:rRNA from 1 species